rnacentral:rRNA from 1 species
UACGUAGGGUGCGAGCGUUGAUCGGAAUUACUGGGCGUAAAGCGUGCGCAGGCGGUUCGUUGCGUCGGCGGUGAAAUCCCCGGGCUCAACCUGGGAAUGGCCGUUGAAACUGGCGAACUGGAGUGUGGCAGAGGGGGGUGGAAUUCCGCGUGUAGCAGUGAAAUGCGUAGAGAUGCGGAGGAACACCGAUGGCGAAGGCAGCCCCCUGGGCUGACACUGACGCUCAGGCACGAAAGCGUGGGGAGCAAACAGG